CUAAGGCCGAUGGCGACCGGCGCACGGGUGAGUAACACGUAUCCAACCUGCCGAUAACUCUGGAAUAGCCUUUCGAAAGAAAGAUUAAUACCGGAUAGUAUACGAAUAUCGCAUGAUAUUUUUAUUAAAGAAUUUCGGUCAUCGAUGGGGAUGCGUUCCAUUAGGUUGUUGGCGGGGUAACGGCCCACCAAGCCUUCGAUGGAUAGGGGUUCUGAGAGGAAGGUCCCCCACAUUGGAACUGAGACACGGUCCAAACUCCUACGGGAGGCAGCAUG
rnacentral:rRNA from 1 species